ACGAGUCCCAAAUAGGACGAAACGCGCGUCCUGGAU
rfam:Schistosoma rodhaini strain Burundi genome assembly, scaffold: SROB_scaffold0012715